rnacentral:rRNA from 1 species
UACGAGUGCCUCAAGCGUUAUCCGGAAUCAUUGGGCGUAAAGGGUGCGUAGGCGGUUCUGUUAGUCUUUUGUUAAACCUUCCGGCUUAACCGGAAAUCUGCAAAAGAUACGGCAGGACUCGAGGAUGGAAGAGGUUUGCGGAACUCAUGGUGUAGGGGUGAAAUCCGUUGAUAUCAUGAGGAACACCGAAUGCGAAGGCAGCAAACUGGUCCACUCCUGACGCUGAAGCACGAAAGCGUGGGUCGCGAAUGGG